UACGUAGGGUGCGAGCGUUAAUCGGAAUUACUGGGCGUAAAGUGUGCGCAGGCGGCCGCGCAAGUCGAGUGUGAAAGCCCCGAGCUUAACUCCGAAACUGCAUUCGAUACUGCCGUGCUUGAGGACUGGAGAGGAGACUGGAAUUCAUGGUGUAGCAGUGAAAUGCGUAGAGAUCAUGAGGAAGACCAGUGGCGAAGGCGGGUCUCUGGACAGUUCCUGACACUGAGACACGAAGGCCAGGGGAGCAAACGGG
rnacentral:rRNA from 1 species